GAGCACGUAGGUGGGUUUGUAAGUCAGAUGUGAAAGCCUUCUGUUCAACGGAAGAAUUGCAUCUGAAACUGCCAAUCUUGAGUGUAGGAGGGGAGAAUGGAACUUCUGGUGGAGCGGUGAAAUGCGUAGAUAUCAGAAGGAGCGCCGGCGGCGAAAGCGAUUCUCUGGCCUAUUACUGACACUCAGUGUGCGAAAGCUAGGGGAGCAAACGGGAUUAGAUACCCCGGUAGUCCUAGCCGUAAACGAUGGGCACUAAGUAGAGGGGUUUU
rnacentral:rRNA from 1 species